rnacentral:rRNA from 1 species
UACGGGGGGGGCUAGCGUUGUGCGGAAUUACUGGGCGUAAAGGGCGCGUAGGCGGUUUUUUAAGUCAGGUGUGAAAUCCCUGGGCUCAACCGAGGAACUGCAUUUGAUACUGAAAAUCUAGAGUAGGGGAGAGGGAAGCGGAAUUCCUGGUGUAGCGGUGAAAUUCGUAGAGAUCAGGAGGAACACCGGUGGCGAAGGCGGCUUACUGGUCCGUUACUGACGCUGAGGCGCGAAAGAGUGGGGAGCAAACAGG